CCUGUGAUGAUUUCGCAAUACUAGCAUAGUUCACACUGAAACUACCGUGUUGACAAAACUGCAUCUUUGUCUUUCGCUCCUAUCUGA
rnacentral:snoRNA from 1 species